rnacentral:rRNA from 1 species
GACAGAGGGUGCAAACGUUGUUCGGAAUUACUGGGCUUAAAGCGCGUGUAGGCGGCUAAGUAAGUCGGGCGUGAAAUCCCACGGCUCAACCGUGGAAGUGCACUCGAAACUGCAUAGCUAGAGUCCUGGAGAGGAAGGUGGAAUGCUUGGUGUAGAGGUGAAAUUCGUAGAUAUCAAGCGGAACACCGGUGGCGAAGGCGGCCUGCUGGACAGUGACUGACGCUGAGACGCGAAAGCGUGGGGAGCAAACAGG